ACGAACGCUGGCGGCGUGCCUAAUACAUGCAAGUCGAGCGAAUCUUUAGAAGCUUGCUUCUAAAGGUUAGCGGCGGACGGGUGAGUAACACGUGGGCAACCUGCCUGUAAGACUGGGAUAACUUCGGGAAACCGGAGCUAAUACCGGAUAAUCCUUUCCCUCUCAUGAGGGGAAGCUGAAAGACGGUUUCGGCUGUCACUUACAGAUGGGCCCGCGGCGCAUUAGCUAGUUGGUGAGGUAACGGCUCACCAAGGCGACGAUGCGUAGCCGACCUGAGAGGGUGAUCGACCACACUGGGACUGAGACACGGCCCAGACUCCUACGGGAGGCAGCAGUAGGGAAUCUUCCACAAUGGACGAAAGUCUGAUGGAGCAACGCCGCGUGAGCGAUGAAGGCCUUCGGGUCGUAAAGCUCUGUUGUUAGGGAAGAACAAGUAUCGGAGUAACUGCCGGUACCUUGACGGUACCUAACCAGAAAGCCACGGCUAACUACGUGCCAGCAGCCGCGGUAAUACGUAGGUGGCAAGCGUUGUCCGGAAUUAUUGGGCGUAAAGCGCGCGCAGGCGGUCCUUUAAGUCUGAUGUGAAAGCCCACGGCUCAACCGUGGAGGGUCAUUGGAAACUGGGGGACUUGAGUGCAGAAGAGGAAAGCGGAAUUCCACGUGUAGCGGUGAAAUGCGUAGAGAUGUGGAGGAACACCAGUGGCGAAGGCGGCUUUCUGGUCUGUAACUGACGCUGAGGCGCGAAAGCGUGGGGGAGCAAACAGGAUUAGAUACCCUGGUAGUCCACGCCGUAAACGAUGAGUGCUAAGUGUUAGGGGGUUUCCGCCCCUUAGUGCUGCAGCUAACGCAUUAAGCACUCCGCCUGGGGAGUACGGCCGCAAGGCUGAAACUCAAAGGAAUUGACGGGGGCCCGCACAAGCGGUGGAGCAUGUGGUUUAAUUCGAAGCAACGCGAAGAACCUUACCAGGUCUUGACAUCCUCUGACACUCCUAGAGAUAGGAUUUUCCCCUUCGGGGGACAGAGUGACAGGUGGUGCAUGGUUGUCGUCAGCUCGUGUCGUGAGAUGUUGGGUUAAGUCCCGCAACGAGCGCAAACCCUUGAUCUUAGUUGCCAGCAUUCAGUUGGGCACUCUAAGGUGACUGCCGGUGACAAACCGGAGGAAGGUGGGGAUGACGUCAAAUCAUCAUGCCCCUUAUGACCUGGGCUACACACGUGCUACAAUGGAUGGUACAAAGGGCUGCAAGACCGCGAGGUUUAGCCAAUCCCAUAAAACCAUUCUCAGUUCGGAUUGCAGGCUGCAACUCGCCUGCAUGAAGCCGGAAUCGCUAGUAAUCGCGGAUCAGCAUGCCGCGGUGAAUACGUUCCCGGGCCUUGUACACACCGCCCGUCACACCACGAGAGUUUGUAACACCCGAAGUCGGUGGGGUAACCGCAAGGAGCCAGCCGCCUAAGGUGGGACAGAUGAUUGGGGUG
rnacentral:rRNA from 1 species